CACCUGUGGCAUAUGGAAGUUCCCAGGCUAAGGGUUGAAUUGGAGCUGCAGGAGAUCUGAGCUGUAUCUGUGACUUAAGCCAGAUCCUUAACCCACUGAGUGAGACCAGGGAUCAAACUCGCAUCCUCACAGACACUAAUUGGGUUCUUAACCUACCGAGCCACAAUAGGAACUCCAAAACACAUUUGUAAAAUAACACGAUUCAAUGGUUUUGAAUGCCCUGAAAAAGCUGUACAACCAUCACCAAUACUAACUCCAGUAUGUUAGAUCACACCCCCAAAGAAACUCCAUAACCAUUAGUGGAGACUCCCCAUUUUCCCCUCGCCUCAGCUUCUGGCAAAUACUCAUCUGCUCUGUUGCUAUGGAUGUGCCUAUCCUGAACAUUUCACAUACAUGGAAUCAUACAAUAGGUAGCCUUUUGUGUCUGGCUUCUUUCAUGUUGGCUUCAACAUCCAUGUAUGCUGAAGUAUGUAAGUUUAUCUCUUUUUAUGGCUGAAUAAUAAUCCAUCAUGUGAACAUACCACAUUUUGCCUACAGUUGAUGGGCAUUUGGAUCCCAGUUUCUAUUUUUGAGCUGUUAAAAAUAAUGCUGCUAUGGAGUUCCCAUCGUGGCACAGUAGUUAACGAAUCCAACUAGGAACCAUGAGGUUGUGGGUUCGAUCCCUGGCCUCGCUCAGUGGGUUAAGGAUCCAGCAUUGCCUGAAGCCAGGGAUGGAACCUGCAUCCUCAUGGAUCCUAGUCAGAUUCCUUUCCCCUGAGCCACGACAGGCACUCUGUAAAUAUUUUCUGUAAAAUUCAUUUUUCUGUGUCAAGAACACCUGUGAGGCGCCCUGACUGCCAUUGGAUGCAACGCUACUGGCCAGCUCUGUUAAUUCCGCACGGGGCAGGCAGCCCUGGGCAUGGAUCCCAGACCUGAUCUGUCCCAGGGAAGUUGUAUCCUUGCUCACAAAGGGGACAUGGUCAUUAGGGUGUUGGGGGUUCUCAGUUAAAUGGGUCACCAGGGUCCAAAAGAGUACAGGACAGGGCCACAAGCUAGGCUGUCUCUGACCCCUCUUCCUAAAC
rnacentral:lncRNA from 1 species